rnacentral:rRNA from 1 species
UACGUAGGCAGCGAGCGUUGUUCGGAGUUACUGGGCGUAAAGGGUGUGUAGGCGGUUGUUUAAGUUUGGUGUGAAAUCUCCCGGCUCAACUGGGAGGGUGCGCCGAAUACUGCAUGACUUGGAGUGCGGGAGAGGAAAGUGGAAUUCCUGGUGUAGCGGUGAAAUGCGUAGAUAUCAGGAGGAACACCGGUGGUGUAGACGGCUUUCUGGACCGUAACUGACGCUGAGACACGAAAGCGUGGGUAGCAAACAGG